GCAUAUCAUAAGCGGAGGAAAAGAAACCAACAGGGAUUGCCUCAGUAACGGCGAGUGAAGCGGCAAGAGCUCAAAUUUGAAAUCUGGCUCCUUCGGGGCCCGAGUUGUAAUUUGUAGAAGAUGCUUCGGGUGUGGCUCCGGUCUAAGUUCCUUGGAACAGGACGUCAUAGAGGGUGAGAAUCCCGUAUGUGACUGGAUGCCUACGCCCGUGUGAAGCUCUUUCGACGAGUCGAGUUGUUUGGGAAUGCAGCUCAAAAUGGGUGGUAAAUUUCAUCUAAAGCUAAAUACUGGCCAGAGACCGAUAGCGCACAAGUAGAGUGAUCGAAAGAUGAAAAGCACUUUGGAAAGAGAGUUAAACAGUACGUGAAAUUGUUGAAAGGGAAGCGCUUGCAAUCAGACUUGCGCCCGGGCGAUCAUCUGGGGUUCUCCCCAGGGCACUCGUCCGGGCUCAGGCCAGCAUCAGUUCUCGUGGUGGGAUAAAGGUCCUGGGAAUGUGGCCCCUCUCGGGGGGUGUUAUAGCCCAGGGCGCCAUGCCGCCUACGGGGACUGAGGACCGCGCUUCGGCUAGGAUGCUGGCGUAAUGGUUGUAAGCGACCCGUCUUGAAACACGGACCAAGGAGUCUAACAUCUAUGCGAGUGUUUGGGUGCUAAACCCAUGCGCGGAAUGAAAGUGAACGGAGGUGAGAACCCGUCAGGGCGCAUCAUCGACCGAUCCUGAUGUCUUCGGAUGGAUUUGAGUAAGAGCAUAGCUGUUGGGACCCGAAAGAUGGUGAACUAUGCGUGAAUAGGGUGAAGCCAGAGGAAACUCUGGUGGAGGCUCGCAGCGGUUCUGACGUGCAAAUCGAUCGUCAAAUUUGCGUAUAGGGGCGAAAGACUAAUCGAACCAUCUAGUAGCUGGUUCCUGCCGA
rnacentral:rRNA from 1 species